ACUCUUUUAGGCCGCCCAGUGACCAAGCAAAAUGUGGGGUUGCAGAGUAAAUACAGAUGCUCCGGUUCUGCGGAGCAGCCCUCGGGACUUGAGUUUAGGGGACCAUGGCUCAUCAUUCUUAACAUCCUCGAAGCAGUUGCAAAAAGAUAAAAAGAUGAAGGGGAGCCCAAAGCUUCCGACAGAAUUCAUAACAGAAAAUAACUUGAUUAAAGCCUGACUCUUUUAAAAGUGAAUGCUGACCAGUGAGAUGCCAGCCUGCCUGUGAAGAUCCUGCAGCAGGAGUGCAUGUCAGGGUAUCCUGGCUUACACUGAGGACUAAACUCACCUUCUGAACAAGUCAUCCAAGUCCUGCAAACAAAACAAGAGAAGCUUAGUUACCUAAAGAAACAGAACACAAUGUGGUUUCAUAUAUAUGAGAUUUAUUUAUUCAUUUUACAGAUAUGAGUACACUAUUGCUCUCUUCAGACACACCAGAAGGGGGCAUCAGUGCUCUUAGCCAUUGAGCCAUGCCACCAACCCAUUAAGUUUUAUGUCAAUCAGCACUAUACCAAUUCACCUGCAAAUGUAUUUUCAUGUCCCAGGGUAAUGCCAAUGAAGUGGAUUAGCACAAUGGAAUUCUUAAUGAAAUCAGGCUGUGAGAAUACUUGGGAAGCAUAUGGGUAGGAGUUAUACACUGCUUUGGAACACCUCACUGUCUGCAAAGAGGACUUUCUUUAAUCUUGUACACAAGCAUAGGAAUACUUUCAUUAGGGGUACUUGAAAACUGAGGCCUAACCCCUACAUGGUGCCUCGUAUCUGUAACUCUAGACUUUGGGGUUUAGGUCUCAGGAGUCCUGUGAGUCCGAGGCCAUUGUGUACCACAAAGAACAUGUAUCAAAUCCCCCACCGCCCAAAAAACUCUCAAAAACAUAGCUUUCAGACAGAACAAACGAACGGUAGACUACUUUAAAGCUGUGCUUAGCAUCCAAGUAGAGGUAAAAUGGAGUAUCCGGUAACAAGAAUCACUUAAUUUGGGGUUUCAAAGAAGCAAGCUACAAACACACCAAAAAAAAGAAAAAAUGGGGAGAUAUUCAAUGAGGAAAUCAACUGACAAUGUCAACAAGCUUGCUCUUUUUAGGUUAUCACAGAAAUUAUCUCUCCAGGUUUUUUUUUCUUUUCGAGACAGGGUUUCUCUGUGUAGCCCUGGAUGUCCUGGAACUCAGAAAUCCGCCUGCCUCUGCCUCCCAAGUGCUGGGAUUAAAGGCGUGCUCCACCACCACCCGGCCAGAUUUUUCUUAAAAAGGAAAUCCCCUGAUAAGUACAGGGGCUAUAGAAAGGACUCUCAGAUGUAAAAGCCACAGGUGUGGUCCUCAGAUAAUGAAGCUCUUUCAAGCACUCCAUGCUCACCUGCACCAGCAGCUCCUGGUAUGGCCUCUGGGACAUUGUCAUCAGCUCCUGAUACACCUCUGUUAGUUGAUUUCUCUCGUGGACUAUCGUAGCUUCACUUUUCCUGAGCUCCUCUAAAGUAGUGUUGCUUUGAUGUCUCAAACACUCUAUGUGUUGAUCCCUUUCUUCACUGAGGGGUGGACAUUGUUUUCCAUACACUCUCUUGAUCACUUCCUCCCGUAGCUUCACGGACUUCUGAAGGAAAAGGGACAUCCUAGAUCACACUGAAGAGUAUUUGAUCCUCUCCACGGAAUCCUUCUAUGUUUAAUUCACCUACAGGAGCCCAUCAGAGUGCUGCACACACUGAUUUACUGUCUGCACUUUCCAGAAAAUGUCAAUUCUCUGAUUUCAUACAUUUCUUCUUUAUUAAUAGCUGAAGCAGGCAAACCCAUCCUUUUCCCUUACCACUUUUAUCUAUUAAAUGAGACUCAUCUCAGAGGGGGGAAAAGGUUUUGAUUGGUAAUAAAUUCACUCAAAAAUGCAACUCUGCUCCAGGUGUGGUGGCCCACGCCUUUAGUCCCAGCACUUGAGAGGCAAAGGCAGGUGGAUUUCUGAGUUUGAGGCCAACCUGGUCUACAGAGUGAGUUCCAGGACAGCCAGGGCUACACAGAAAAACCCUGUCUCAAAAAAAAAAAAAAAUGCAACUCUGCACAUAGUAACCAAAAUUCCCCAUGUGGAGUCAGUACUUCCCCAAGUGGAGUGAUGGGCUGUGCUGAACACUCAGAAAGUCACCCAUUAACAUCAAACUUUUCUGCCACACGGCCAUGUCAUUCUCUCUGUAUUCAAAAUUGUAUUUUACCCUUGAGAAUUUAAGGUUAACAGAAAAGGAAUUUCCUAGCAUCACAUCCCAUGCUUGUUCCUCAAAUUGUGAAUGACCAAGUUUGCAAGAUAUCUGCCUCCCAAGUGCUGGGAUGAAAGGCGUCACCACUACUGCCUGGCUCAAGAUACUUUUUUCUAUUCUGUGCUUUGUCUAAAAUAUUUCAAGAACAUUCUAUGCUUAAGAAAUGCUCUGAGUGGUUUUAAGAAAUAUCAAUAUUUAAAGCUUGAGGUAGGGUGCAUUUUCUUGGAUAGGAAGGUGCUGUUUCACUAACAUGCCUGCAGUGAAAGGCCAGACUGGAGGAGAAGGGCUUGGAUCACUCCUCAAUGAAUGUCUCUGGCCUCAAAGAAUGUACCAGUUUGGGCUGAAGUCUCAUACCCACCAACCACCACAAGGUCAUUCUCCUCUCUUUUUCUACAUAAUUCUGCUGGAUUUUGAGCCUCUGCCAUAAUGAGUCCAUGUGCUUUAGAAGUUCCUCCUGUAAUAAAUAAAUAAAUAAAUAAAUAAAUCAUCC
rnacentral:lncRNA from 1 species